rnacentral:misc_RNA from 1 species
GUGGUAUUUGCUGAGGAGAACAGGAAGAAGCCAUCUGAUAUGAGGGCAAGGGAGAGAGGAAGUGGGCGAUUUUAUGAUCGAAGAAGAUCUCCUCCACAGUAUUCUCGUUCGCCUCGAUAUUCACGUUCCCCGGCUCAACGUCAUGCAAGGUAUUCUCGUUCACCAGCUCCACGCCAUGCAAGGUCUAGGUCCCGUAGUUAUGAUUAUGCAUCCCCACCACCAAAACAGAGGGCUUACUCAAGAUCAGUGUCCCCCCGUG